AUGCCUUUUGCUAUUUUUGAAUGAUAAGACUUCUCGUGCUUAUCUUGACUUUGCCACCUUGAAGGUUAGUUUGGAUUGGAAUGCUUGCUCCAAGUGAGAACUUGAAGAUCUUUUAAUUCUUUGCUCAUGAGUUUGAAGAGAACACAUGAGCUCAUGCAAAGUAUAUUUGGAGAGGUCUUUGGACUCUUUAAUGGCAGCCACAACAUGAUCAAAUUUUUGGGAAAGGCUUCGAAGAACCUUUUGGACAAUUUUUUUUGUCUUCAAUGGUAUCUCCACAACUUCGAAUUUGAUUAACAAUUUCAGCAACUUUGGAGAAAUUUUUUUGAGAACUUUCACUCUCCAUCAUUGCCACAUUUUCAAAAUCCCUCCAAAGUGAUUAUAGCUUCAUGGAGACGACUUUAUCAUUUUCAUGAAAUUCAUCUUUUAAUAUAUCCCAUGCUUUCUUUGCUUUGUUGGCACCAAAUAUCCUAGGAUAAAUGACCUUGCUCACCCCUUGUUGGAUAAGCCAUAGUGCAGUUGCAUCUCUUUUCAUAUUUUCUUUAUAUCGCUUUUGUGGCUCUUCCGUCCAAGUUGAUGAGCUCUCUUUGGCAGGUGGUUCUUCAUAAGUGUCUUCAAUCACCUUCUAAAGGUCUUGAGAGAUAAAAAUGGUCUUCAUUUGGCUACUCCAAUAGUCAUAGUGUUCUCCUUCAAAAAUAGGAACUUAAUUAGGAGAGUAUGAGAACAUGGUUGGAACAAGAUUAGCCGCUAUUAGAAAAGAUAAAAAAGAUUUCACAAAAACAAAAGGUUGAUAAUGGAAGCAAGGAUGGUUAAUUGGCUAAUAACUGAUUCACACCAACUAAGACUGGGCUAUAAAAGCUCUGAUACCAAAUUUGUU
rnacentral:lncRNA from 1 species